rnacentral:rRNA from 1 species
UACAGAGGUGGCAAGCGUUGUUCGGAAUUACUGGGCGUAAAGGGCGCGUAGGCGGUCUUGUAAGUCUUGUGUGAAAUCCCUCGGCUUAACUGAGGAACUGCACGGGAUACUGCGAGACUUGAGUUCGGGGAGAGGGAAGCGGAAUUCCGGGUGUAGGCGGUGAAAUGCGUAGAUAUCCGGAGGAACACCGGUGGCGAAGGCGGCUUCCU